AUUGAACGCUGGCGGCAGGCUUAACACAUGCAAGUCGAGCGGAGAUGAGGUGCUUGCACCUUAUCUUAGCGGCGGACGGGUGAGUAAUGCUUAGGAAUCUGCCUAUUAGUGGGGGACAACAUUCCGAAAGGAAUGCUAAUACCGCAUACGUCCUACGGGAGAAAGCAGGGGAUCUUCGGACCUUGCGCUAAUAGAUGAGCCUAAGUCGGAUUAGCUAGUUGGUGGGGUAAAGGCCUACCAAGGCGACGAUCUGUAGCGGGUCUGAGAGGAUGAUCCGCCACACUGGGGCUGAGACACGGCCCAGACUCCUACGGGAGGCAGCAGUGGGGAAUAUGGGACAAUGGGGGGAACCCUGAUCCAGCCAUGCCGCGUGUGUGAAGAAGGCCUUAUGGUUGUAAAGCACUUUAAGCGAGGAGGAGGCUACUGAGACUAAUACUCUUGGAUAGUGGACGUUACUCGCAGAAUAAGCACCGGCUAACUCUGUGCCAGCAGCCGCCGUAACAC
rnacentral:rRNA from 1 species